rnacentral:rRNA from 1 species
UACGUAGGAGGCGAGCGUUGUCCGGAGUUACUGGGCGUAAAGGGUGCGCAGGCGGCCGCGUAAGUUCGCGCUGAAAUCUCCUGGCUCAACUGGGAGGGGCGCGCGGAUACUGCGCGGCUUGAGGCCCGCAGGGGGGCGUGGAAUUCCGGGUGGAGCGGUGAAAUGCGUAGAGAUCCGGAGGAACGCCGACGGUGCAGACAGCGCCCUGGACGGGACCUGACGCUCAGGCACGAAAGCUGGGGGAGCGAACAGG